rnacentral:rRNA from 1 species
AGAGUUUGAUCCUGGCUCAGGACGAACGCUGGCGGCGUGCUUAACACAUGCAAGUCAAGGAGAACCUCCGCUUCGGCGGAGUAGUAAACUGGCGAACGGGUGAGUAACACGUGGGUAACCUGCCCUGGAGACUGGGAUAACCCCGAGAAAUCGGAGCUAAUACCGGAUAAUGCAGCGGGUCCUUCGGGACAUAGUUGUUAAAGCGGCCUUCGGGUCGCACUUUAGGAUGGGCCUGCGUCCGAUUAGUUUGUUGGUGAGGUAAUGGCUUACCAAGGCGAUGAUCGGUAGCUGGUUUGAGAGGAUGAUCAGCCACACUGGGAUUGAGAUACGGCCCAGACUCCUACGGGAGGCAGCAGUGGGGAAUUUUGCGCAAUGGGCGAAAGCCUGACGCAGCAACGCCGCGUGAUCGAUGAAGCUUUUCGGAGUGUAAAGAUCUGUCAUGAGGGAAGAACAGUCCUGAUAUAAACAAUAUCAGGAUUUGACGGUACCUCAUAAGAAAGCACCGGCUAACUUAGUGCCAGCAGCCGCGUAUCUAGGGUGCAAGCGUGUCCGGAAUCACUGGGCGUAAGGGUGCUAGCGUCUACGUAGUGUUUGUUAAAUCCAUCGGCUACCGUGAUCUGCAAACAAAACUGCAUAGAUAGAGUUGGAGAGGAAAGUGGAACUCCUGGUGUAGCGGUGACAUGCGUAGAUAUCAGGAGGAACAUCGAAAGCGAAAGGCAGCUUUCUGGUCCAAAACUGACGCUGAAGCACGAAAGCGUGGGGAGCAAACAGGAUUAGAUACCUGGUAGUCCACGCCGUAAACGAUGAGCACUUGGUGUCGGAAGAUUCGACCCUUUCGGCGCCGGAGUUAACGCGUUAAGUGCUCCGCCUGGGGACUACGACCGCAAGGUUGAAACUCAAAGGAAUUGACGGGGACCCGCACAAGCGGUGGAACAUGUGAUUAAUCCGAUGCAACGCGAAGAACCUUACUGGACUUGACAUGCUUGUGAUCAUCGUGAAAGCGGGAAACUCUGAGAGCUUGCUCAAAGACACAUUCACAGGUGAUGCAUGGCUGUCGUCAGCUCGUGUCGUGAGAUGUUGGGUUAAGUCCCGCAACGAGCGCAACCCUUGUCCUUAGUUGCCAGCACAUUAUGGUGGGGACUCUAAGGAGACUGCCUGGGAUAACCAGGAGGAAGGUGGGGAUGAUGUCAAGUCAGUAUGUCCCUUAUGUCCAGGGCUACACACGUGUUACAAUGGUCAGUACAAAGGGUCGCCAACCCGCGAGGGGGAGCCAAUCCCAAAAAACUGACCCCAGUUCAGAUUGGAGUCUGCAACUCGACUUCAUGAAGGAGGAAUCGCUAGUAAUCGUGCAUCAGCACGGCACGGUGAAUACGUUCCCGGGUCUUGUACACACCGCCCGUCACGCCAUGGAAGUCAGCAGUACCCAAAGCCGGUGGCCUAACCUUCGGGAGGGAGCCGUCUAAGGUAAGGCUGGUAACUGGGGCGAAGUCGUAACAAGGUAACCAAGGGCG